UACGGGGGGAGCAAGCGUUGUUCGGAUUUACUGGGCGUAAAGGGCGCGUAGGCGGUCAGCACAAGUCAGUUGUGAAAUCUCCGGGCUUAACUCGGAAAGGUCAGCCGAUACUGGCGAGCUAGAGUGCGGUAGAGGAUGGUGGAAUUCCCGGUGUAGCGGUGAAAUGCGUAGAGAUCGGGAGGAACACCCGUGGCGAAGGCGGCCAUCUGGACCAGCACUGACGCUGAGGCACGAAAGCGUGGGGAGCAAACAGG
rnacentral:rRNA from 1 species